rnacentral:rRNA from 1 species
CCAGACUCCUACGGGAGGCAGCAGUGGGGAAUAUUGGACAAUGGGGGGGACCCUGAUCCAGCGACGCCGCGUGAGUGAAGAAGUAUUUCGGUAUGUAAAGCUCUAUCAGCAGGGAAGAAAGAAAUGACGGUACCUGACUAAGAAGCCCCGACUAACUACGUGCCAGCAGCCGCGGUAAUACGUAGGGGGCAAGCGUUAUCCGGAUUUACUGGGUGUAAAGGGAGCGUAGACGGCGAUGCAAGUCUGAAGUGAAAGGCGGGGGCCCAACCCCGGAACUGCUUUGGAAACUGUGCAGCUAGAGUGCAGGAGAGGUAAGUGGAAUUCCUAGUGUAGCGGUGAAAUGCGUAGAUAUUAGGAGGAACACCAGUGGCGAAGGCGGCUUACUGGACUGUAACUGACGUUGAGGCUCGAAAGCGUGGGGAGCAAACAGGAUUAGAUACCCUAGUAGA